CCGAGCGUAGCAUAGCCUGGCCAAUGCACCUGACUGUAGAUCAGGGAAUCGCUGGUUCAAAUCCGGCCGCUCGGACCA
rnacentral:tRNA from 4 species